GUCUCCCUCUGCCUGUGUCUCUGCCUCUCUGUGUGUGUCUCUCAUGAAGAAAUAAGUGAAAUAUUUAAAAACAAAGCAAAGAAUGGUCAAAACUCCCAACUCUGUUCUACUAGAGCUGGGUUUUAGUCCCCACUUAACCUCUGUGUGACUUCAAGAAAAGUUACAUAACCUCUCAGAGCUUCAGUUUCUCUGACUCUACUAGGUAGAGACUGGAGGUUUCUUCUUCAUGGGCUUGUGAGGAUUACACCAGAGACAGCGUAUACACUCAUGGCACGAUGCCUGAUAGACGUGCACCCUCACGAUGGGGCAGGUGCCGUCAGCAGACGUUAUUUCCCCCUUGGGCUUCCCUUGUGCUUCAUCCUGCCCACCUUCACUUCCUGUCUCCCCAGCGAGACGCGAGGGCCCUGGAUGGGGAACCGUCCCUGCUCGCCCAGGGCCCGGCUCCGAGCCUGGCUCAGGGCGGAGCUGGUGAACCGACACGUGGACGAUGGGCGGCACUCCGAGCUUGCCCUCCGUUACAUUGCCUGCAGAGGGGAUGCAGCGGUAACAGUCACAGUGGAGGCAGGAGCACCAUCGGCUUGGACGGAUUAAGGUCCCUGAAAUCUAUGGAAGGAGAUUUUACUGGUGUGUCCACCUCCUCCUGGCCAGGCCACAGCUUUCUCAGCAGCAAUGGGGUAUCAAUCAGGGACGGCGUGGAGCCGAGGGUUUCAGCCGAGCCUCCGGGAGGCCAGGCUUUGGUCUGAACUGGAAGAGCACAAAGGCCAGCGGUGUCCUGUGGUGCGCGGAGCGCGCGAGGGCCAAGAACCCGAGCUCUGCACCGCUGGGGCACCUUCCUGCCCAUUCAGACGGAGCGAGCCGCUGGAGGGGGUGCAUGAGGUUGGCGUCACCUUGUUCCUCUCCAGAGCCGCCGGGAGGAGCUAGGUGGCCAGAGCACAGCAAAGACGGAGUUGCCGUCGUCCACACAACUUGACGGAAGGCCAGGCCAGCAGGGAGAUUGUGAUGCAGGAAAGUCAACUCGGCGGGGACUUCCAGCUGUUCCUUUCCACACCCGGGGCCCACUGGCUCGAUCUGCCCUCAGCUCUCCCCCUGUUGCCGUGUUUUUGGGGUGCCUCCUACUGCCGGGACCAUGCCCUCCUCCCUAAAGUCCACACUUCCAAGCACUGGGGGGGGCAGUUGUGCUUCCUUCCACCCCCACGGUCCCACUGGUGCCCCCGUCCUGACAUCUUCCCUGUUUACGAAUGAGGCCGCAACAAAGGCAGCCUUCAACACUUCUUGCACACACCACAGUCGGGCCCCGGUGUCUCCCACACCCCUUCCCCGGGAAGGAUUCUGACUUUCUCUUGCACGGUGAUCGUCGGAGUCUCCUAUUAUUAUUUUUCCUAAAACACAGUAGCAAUCUGCCUUCAAAGAUGAAGCCAAAUGGCCAGCUCUAGAGACAAGGAUGUCCUGCCACUUUACAUGGCAGCCCUACCUCUCCAGCUUGUAGGGACUGGCUGUCCCCUUGCCCACGCCGCCCAUCACACCAGGGUCCCCCUCCCCGAGUCACGUCAGUGUUCCCUCAUGGCUGGACCACAGCCCGGGGUCCCCCAACCCGCCAGACUGCUGCUGUUGUCAGGUGGAUGCUGAUGGGUUCAUGGCACGGCUCACUGUCCCUCACACUGGGCUGGUGACCUCCUGGAGAGCCUGGAUUUUCAUGACAGGACGCCCUUGGGCCGGAGGAAGAGUGUCCAGUUUCAGGCCCUGUUCCCCUCAGCACAUUCUAUGCUGCCUGAGGAUGAACGUCCUGCCCCCGGGCCAGGGACGCAGGUGCCGGACAGCAGCCCAGAGACCUCCCGGAUCUCCUCGCGCAGGUGUCUGGGUUGUAGGGAGACCAGCUCCUCUGCGGGCUGGAGGUGGGGCUCUGGAUCAGGCACAGGGCAUCUGCAGCCCGGGCACCCGGGGACCCGUGGACACCUGGUGGCCUUUGCAGCUUCCAGAGAAUGGGGCGGGAUGUUUGUGCAGCCCUGACAUGUGCUUGGGCAGAGGCCGGAGCUCAGGGUCUAGCGCAGUGGUGACACCGCGUGUUAUGAACGUGGUGGAGCCGCACCAAAUAACCCUUGGGACCUCUGCCCCGAGCGCACACCCUGCCCUCAGCUCUCUUCUCCUGGGCAUCAUCAUUCCGUAUCGCAACCCACACACGUCAACCCUGAGUGUUCUUCACCACCUUUUAACAGCUCGUAAUUUACCCCUACUUGUCUAGUCGUCACGACUGGACAUUGGGAUGGGUUACCUUGUGUCUCCCCCGAUUCACAUGUUGGCGUCACAGUCCCCAGAAUGUCAUCUUGUUUGGAGAUGGGGUCUUUACGGAGAUGAUCAAGUUAAAAUAAGGUCAUCCUAAUGGGUCCUAAACCCAAGGACUGGCAUCCUUAGUGUUAGGGGAAAUUUGGACACAGAGACAGAGACAUGAAGUGAAGACCAUGUGAAGACUCAGGGAGAAGGCAGCUGCCCACCCGCCUCGGUCCUGGACUUCUGGCCUCCAGAACCCAGAGACAAUGAGUUCUGUUGUUGAGGCCCCCGGUCUGUGGGUCUAGCCGUCCGUCCUAGCAAAGGGAUGCAGACCUUUUCAUAUAAUAGAUAAUCCCAUGAGAGCAUCUCCACGCCUGCGUGAGCAAGGUGUGCACCUUUGCUCUUUUGCCAGGACCCGCUCACAUGCCCUCACUCCCCACGGCCCCUCCUCCCCCCUCUGUGGGCACCGUGUGCCCAUGUGUCCCUCCGCCACGGCCCCCGCCCCCGGCGGCAGUCAGCACAGAAUCGCAUCGCUGCCGGUUCACUGCUCUGCAUCCCUGGUCCUAGGCCAGUGCGGUGGGUGCUAGAUGGGUCUCUGCUGCACAAAGAUGGGGGUGGUGGUGGCUGCACUUGGAGGCUGGUGGGGAACAGUAUUGGGUUCUGGAUGGUCUUCCCAUGUGAGCCCCACGUUGUAACCAGGCGGGACGUGGAGGCUCUGAUGCCCACGCUGACUGAAGUGGAGGCCAAGGGUGGUGGCUGUGCCCUGGGACCCCGGCAGGGAGCGCAGCCAGGGCCUGCCAGUGGCGGCCAGCUGGUCAGGGAAGAAGCCACCGGCGCAGACACAACACUCAGCCUGGGCGAGACAGCCCAUCUCAGGACGAGUCUUGCUGUUUGAUCCGGAGUAAGUCGAUAGCCCUUUGUGUCAGGACAGUGGAAUUCCUUUCACCGUUAAAAUGCUAAAAAUCUGCUGCCUUAAAGUUUGUAACGUGGGUUUGAAAUUGGAACGUCAGUCUUCCAUAGAUAAUAAAAGUAUUAGGUGUUUA